AUGUGACUAGAUGCCACCAACAGAAGUGAGAGCAAGUGAUUUGGACCAUGUCUGAGUCAAGCUUCUUAGAAAUGGAUGUGCUUCUUCCAGGAUCUCUUUCUCUUUCCACCAGCUAAAUGCAGAUGGCAACAACCCCAAAGGGGGGACCCAAAGAAGAGAAGCCGGGGACCCUGAAUGAUCCCAUGGAAGAGACUCACCCUUCUGGUUUCAAUACUUGACUUAUAGUGGUACUGUCCCACACUGCCGGCAACCCCAGAAAUGCCAUCAGUGACCCUGAACUCUGCUGAAGGCCUACACCUGCUGAAGAAGCUCAUACUCAGCCUGAACCCACUCAUGAUUGAGCCCAAGGACAGUCGUGUCUAUGUCAAGGGCCCUGGGGAUGGCACUGAAGCACUGAAGGGAAAAAAAAAAAUCACCGUCUUGUUUUCUCCACCCUUGACUGUGAAGUUUAAUGUAAGGUUUGGCUGAGUCUUCGUGAUGGUUCAUAACCUGGCUGUAACCAUCAGACCAUCAGACCAUCCUGCCCUCAUCUCUCUCCCCUGCAGGCUCUCUCCUCACCCGUCUGGCUCUUCCAUUCCUUACACCCGAUCUCCCCAGAAAGCACCCAGGACUCUGAUUCAUCAUGUCAAGUGGUCAAUUAGAAUCCGGGAAGGCCUCUCUCUGGCUUCACCUUACUUCCUGUUCCAGGAGAGAUGCUCGAUGAUGGGAUUAGUCCGGAAGGGACAACCUCUCCCAAACCUGAGCUCACUGAUUUCUUCGUUUUACAAAACAGUGCUCUUGAUAAAAAAUAAACAAAAAAGGCAAUAAUACAACUAAUAACCCCAAGGUCUAAAUUUAAACCAGCUGUGUCUCAUAACAAAAGAAGCUGCAAUGACCAACAUACAUCACUAAGAAAACGCCAGCUUAUAUGGAUGAGGAUUGGGAUUUCUUGGCAUAAUGCAGGGAGCACAUAAAAAAUGAGUGAGGAAAAGACUGGUAUUUGUGUAUAUAUGUAAAUAUUACAUGUAUUCUUAAAUGAUAUUUAAAAAUAAUAAAUCAAUGAUUAAAUAAUAUAUA